UUCCUCCUUUCAAGCAUCUGAAAGUUCCUGAAACUUAAAUUGAAAUGUUGCUAACAGUCUGUUUUGCAGCAAUUAGGUCCUGAAUGUCAACCAUCGGGUCCAGUUAGCCUCUGGUCAUUUCGCAGCAUCUGGUUCCGGACAUGAGGCCAUAAUGAUGUUCCUCCGAUGUAAACCUCACAGAACGUUGUGGAAAAAAGAAGAAAAAACAGAAGGCACCUGGCUCCGGUUCGCCUUCUCACGUACCUGCAAGCCUUUACCUCAUCAUCGGACUGCUCUUAAGCUGCUGGUUGCCACUACUUCGACGCCAGAGUGUUUGCCAUUUUGGGGAAGCCUUCCUGCAAACUGGACCCUUUUGGACCGCCUCCUCCCAAGUGGG